ensembl:miRNA
CCCGGCCCUCGCGGGGGUGCAUUGUAGUUGCAUUGCAUGUGUCAGACUGGGAGUGCAAUGCCCCUGCCAUGCAGCCCGGCGGGGGCCCCG